rnacentral:rRNA from 1 species
AUUGAACGCUGGCGGCAGGCCUAACACAUGCAAGUCGAACGGUAACAGGAAGAAGCUUGCUUCUUUGCUGACGAGUGGCGGACGGGUGAGUAAUGUCUGGGAAACUGCCUGAUGGAGGGGGAUAACUACUGGAAACGGUAGCUAAUACCGCAUAACGUCGCAAGACCAAAGAGGGGGACCUUCGGGCCUCUUGCCAUCGGAUGUGCCCAGAUGGGAUUAACUAGUAGGUGGGGUAACGGCUCACCUAGGCGACGAUCCCUAGCUGGUCUGAGAGGAUGACCAGCCACACUGGAACUGAGACACGGUCCAGACUCCUACGGGAGGCAGCAGUGGGGAAUAUUGCACAAUGGGCGCAAGCCUGAUGCAGCCAUGCCGCGUGUAUGAAGAAGGCCUUCGGGUUGUAAAGUACUUUCAGCGGGGAGGAAGGGAGUAAAGUUAAUACCUUUGCUCAUUGACGUUACCCGCAGAAGAAGCACCGGCUAACUCCGUG